UCUCUCCAACAACCAAAUAAAUCAAUAUCUAUCAGUUUUUGGUGUAUAAAUAUUCCACAUUCACGAUUCUUUCACAUCCAAGUAAAAUCUGUGAGAAACCUACUGCAGUUCUUCUUCUCCAUUCCAAUAAAGUGGAGAGGAUUAAUCGAUUAACCUGUGAAUCCAAAUUUUCUCAGCAAAUCCAAUUUGGUCUCUUCAUUCCAAAGAUUGAGCGGCGAUGGAUGUGGAGGAUGUUGAGCAGAGUUGUUGGAAAAUUAUAUCUUGUUUGGUUGUUGGAUUUGUCGGGUCUUCAUACUUGGCAUUUUUCCAUGUCUUGACGCUUCCGUUAAAAUCCUAAAUUUCCUUGGGAAUGUUUUAUCAUUGGGUCUUAUUAUUCGAAGUUAGUUUUGUGGAGUCAGUAUUCGAGUUUGUUUUAAGUUUCUCAGUUAAUCUUUUGUUUUGGUCG